rnacentral:rRNA from 1 species
AUGAACGCUAGCGACAGGCUAACACAUGCAAGUCAGGGGCAGCACAAGGAGCAAUCUGAGGUGGCGACCGGCGCACGGGUGAGUAACACGUAUGCAACCUGCCUGUAAGCGGGGAAUAACCCGUUGAAAGACGGACUAAUACCGCAUAAUACUAAAUUACUGCAUGGUAAUUUAUUUAAACAUUUAUGGCUUACAGAUGGGCAUGCGCAUGAUUAGCUAGUUGGAGAGGUAACGGCUCCCCAAGGCAACGAUCAUUAGGGGUUCUGAGAGGAAGGUCCCCCACACUGGUACUGAGACACGGACCAGACUCCUACGGGAGGCAGCAGUGAGGAAUAUUGGUCAAUGGACGAGAGUCUGAACCAGCCAAGUCGCGUGCAGGAAGAAUGUCCCUAUGGAUUGUAAACUGCUUUUGCAGGGGAAUAAAGUGCAUCACGUGUGAUGUUUUGUAUGUACUCUGCGAAUAAGGAUCGGCUAACUCCGUGCCAGCCGCCGC